GACAGAGGGGGCAAGCGUUGCUCGGAAUUACUGGGCGUAAAGGGCGCGUAGGCGGGAUGGCAAGUCGGUCGUGAAAUCCUUCGGCUCAACCGAAGAACGUCGAUCGAUACUGCUGUUCUUGAGGGUUGCAGAGGAGACUGGAAUUCCCGGUGUAGCGGUGAAAUGCGUAGAUAUCUGGAGGAACACCGGUGGCGAAGGCGACAUCCUGGACCGGUAUUGACGCUGAGGCGCGAAAGCCAGGGGAGCAAACGGG
rnacentral:rRNA from 1 species